AUCAAAUCGGAGUACGUCUACAGAGGAUUCGGAGGAGACCAGGCCUUCCGCGAUGAACAGACCAUCUAGGAAAGCAGAUUAAACUCAAGAAGAAUUGUUUUGAAUAAGUUUAACAUUGACCAGUUCAAAGAUGAUGGACAUUUCACUCUCAAAACAAGUCAACAUAUAGGCCUGUUUAGCCACCACCAUCUCUGGAAGCCUGCAGUGAAGGUGUUCAGCUCCUCAUCUGUGCUCCCAGAACACCACGUGCCAACUUCGGCCCCAGGACUCAGUGCAUCGCAUUCCAAUUCCAUCUUCAGGACUUAGAAGAACUGCUAGCCCGGCCAAAUCUCUCUGAAUAAAUAUCUCAUGCUGCCUGAGGAAUAAAUCACGCC